UCCCCCACACUGGUGCUGAGACACGGACCAGACUCCUACGGGAGGCAGCAGUGAGGAAUAUUGGUCAAUGGGAGAGAUCCUGAACCAGCCAAGCCGCGUGAGGGAAGACGGCCCUAUGGGUUGUAAACCUCUUUUGUCGGAGAACAAAACCCGGGACGUGUCCCGGACUGCGUGUAUCCGAAGAAAAAGCAUCGGCUAACUCCGUGCCAGCAGCCGCGGUAAUACGGAGGAUGCGAGCGUUAUCCGGAUUUAUUGGGUUUAAAGGGUGCGUAGGCGGUCUGUUAAGUCAGCGGUAAAAUUGCGGGGCUCAACCCCGUCGAGCCGUUGAAACUGGCAGACUUGAGUUGGCGAGAAGUACGCGGAAUGCGCGGUGUAGCGGUGAAAUGCAUAGAUAUCGCGCAGAACUCCGAUUGCGAAGGCAGCGUACCGGCGCCAGACUGACGCUGAGGCACGAAAGCGUGGGGAUCGAACAGGAUUAGAUACCCUGGUAGUCCACGCAGU
rnacentral:rRNA from 1 species